GAUGAACGCUGGCGGCGUGCCUAAUACAUGCAAGUCGAGCGAACAGACGAGGAGCUUGCUCCUCUGACGUUAGCGGCGGACGGGUGAGUAACACGUGGAUAACCUACCUAUAAGACUGGGAUAACUUCGGGAAACCGGAGCUAAUACCGGAUAAUAUAUUUAACCGCAUGGUUCAAUAGUGAAAGACGGUUUUGCUGUCACUUAUAGAUUGAUCCGCGCCGCAUUAGCUAGUUGGUAAGGUAACGGCUUACCAAGGCGACGAUGCGUAGCCGACCUGAGAGGGUGAUCGGCCACACUGGAACUGAGACACGGUCCAGACUCCUACGGGAGGCAGCAGUAGGGAAUCUUCCGCAAUGGGCGAAAGCCUGACGGAGCAACGCCGCGUGAGUGAUGAAGGUCUUCGGAUCGUAAAACUCUGUUAUUAGGGAAGAACAAAUGUGUAAGUAACUAUGCACGUCUUGACGGUACCUAAUCAGAAAGCCACGGCUAACUACGUG
rnacentral:rRNA from 1 species